UACGGAGGGAGCAAGCGUUACUCGGAAUUAUUGGGCGUAAAGGGCGCGUAGGCGAUCUGAAAAGUUCUGUGUGAAAGCCCACAUGUUAACUGUGGAAGUGCACAGAAAACUGUUGGAUUUGAGUUCAGGAGAGGAAGGCAGAAUUCCCGGUGUAGCGGUGAAAUGCGUAGAGAUCGGGAGGAAUACCAGUGGCGAAGGCGGCCUUCUGGACUGACACUGACGCUGAGGCGCGAAAGCCAGGGGAGCAAAC
rnacentral:rRNA from 1 species